rnacentral:rRNA from 1 species
UACGGAGGAUGCGAGCGUUAUCCGGAUUUAUUGGGUUUAAAGGGUGCGUAGGCGGCUUUUUAAGUCAGCGGUGAAAUUUUGCAGCUUAACUGUAACAGUGCCGUUGAUACUGGGGAGCUAGGAUUUGGUUGCUGUGGGUGGAAUGUGUGGUGUAGCGGUGAAAUGCUUAGAGAUCACACAGAAUAUCGAUUGCGAAGGCAGCUCACAAAGCCAAGAUUGACGCUGAGGCACGAAAGUGUGAGGAUCAAACAGGA